rnacentral:misc_RNA from 1 species
ACUGGCCUUGGGCCGCUCCCGGGAGUCAGUCGCUUGCGAUGACGCUGCUGGGAACGCUUAGCCCUUGACUAUCACCUUGACUACGUGCACCUUUUGUUGUUUCCUCGGCAGGUCCCCUGCCGCCAGGAACCCCAAAACCCUUUUGCAUUAGCAUUCAAACUUCUGAAAACAAAACAAAUUAUUUA